GGUACCUUUAAACCAGUCCAGAGAGGCUGACAAGGACAGCGGAUGUGCGAAUUCGAUUUUUUGAAUUCGUGUAGGUCUGUACGCUUUUUUUAGUGUGCAUUUCUUACAACACAGAAGAGGCUAAUUGUCAGUGACCUGAUGAUUAGCCUCUUUUUUUCU
rfam:Bacillus sp. JCM 19045 DNA, contig: contig00002.